GAUGAACGCUAGCUACAGGCUUAACACAUGCAAGUCGAGGGGAAACGACAUCGAAAGCUUGCUUUUGAUGGGCGUCGACCGGCGCACGGGUGAGUAACGCGUAUCCAACCUGCCCACCACUUGGGGAUAACCUUGCGAAAGUAAGACUAAUACCCAAUGAUAUCUCUAGAAGACAUCUGAAAGAGAUUAAAGAUUUAUCGGUGAUGGAUGGGGAUGCGUCUGAUUAGCUUGUUGGCGGGGUAACGGCACACCAAGGCUACGAUCAGUAGGGGUUCUGAGAGGAAGGUCCCCCACAUUGGAACUGAGACACGGUCCAAACUCCUACGGGAGGCAGCAGUGAGGAAUAUUGGUCAAUGGGCGAGAGCCUGAACCAGCCAAGUAGCGUGCAGGAUGACGGCCCUAUGGGUUGUAAACUGCUUUUAUAAGGGAAUAAAGUGAGUCUCGUGAGACUUUUUGCAUGUACCUUAUGAAUAAGGACCGGCUAAUUCCGUGCCAGCAGCCGCCGUAA
rnacentral:rRNA from 1 species